AGAUAAUAUUCAUGACUGUGAAAGCUAUAACUUGACCAGCCAAGCCGAAGAGGAUGAGGAGGAAGAGGAGGUAGUGGUUUGGUAGCAAGAGGAAAAGAGCGAAAAGAAAUUUUGACGACUAUGUCGUUGAUUCUGAUGAGUUGGAAGACAAGAGCAUGAUGGUAGGUAAGAAACUUCCCCCCUUUCCCAUUGCACCAGCAAAGUUAAAGCCAGUUAUGAAUGAGGCAACUGUAAAGUCAACU